AGUGAACGCUGGCGGUAGGCCUAACACAUGCAAGUCGAACGGCAGCACAGUAAGAGCUUGCUCUUACGGGUGGCGAGUGGCGGACGGGUGAGGAAUACAUCGGAAUCUACUUUUUCGUGGGGGAUAACGUAGGGAAACUUACGCUAAUACCGCUUACGACCUACGGGUGAAAGCAGGGGAUCUUCGGACCUUGCCCGAUUGAAUGAGCCGAUGUCGGAUUAGCUAGUUGGCGGGGUAAAGGCCCACCAAGGCGACGAUCCGUAGCUGGUCUGAGAGGAUGAUCAGCCACACUGGAACUGAGACACGGUCCAGACUCCUACGGGAGGCAGCAGUGGGGAAUAUUGGACAAUGGGCGCAAGCCUGAUCCAGCCAUACCGCGUGGGUGAAGAAGGCCUUCGGGUUGUAAAGCCCUUUUGUUGGGAAAGAAAAGCAGCAGGUUAAUACCCCGCUGUUCUGACGGUACCCAAAGAAUAAGCACCGGCUAACUUCGUG
rnacentral:rRNA from 1 species